rnacentral:sRNA from 1 species
GUGAGGAGGACCCCACGUGAUGCGCAGCGUCACGUUAUAAUGGGGUCCGACGACCUGCCGCCGACGUCGAAGACGGAGGGGGCGAUACCAAAA